CGGCACGUAGCGCAAAGCCGGUAGCGCACCGUCAUGGGGUGUCAAAUGGAGGUUCAAAUCCUCUCGUGCCGACCA
rnacentral:tRNA from 1 species